GUGAACACAACCUUGUCAGAAGCAAGAUUAGCCAAAGUGGAGAAUGGAGAUGAAGGAAGACAGAUGGCUAAUUUAUUUUUUUAAAAAGGAAAAUGCUUCUUUCUAUACUCACAAUAUUUAACCACCUCCUUGCAGGCUUAUUGCAUACCCUGCCCAUGAGGAAGAACCUGUGACUUGUAGUGCUCCUGCUAUCUUUUUUUUUAAAAAAAAAACAGCAAGAGAGAAGAAUUGCUAGCUGCAAUGUAUUGUAGGGGACAACGGACACCGUUGCAUCUUUUUCAGUUAGCCACAGUUGACAGAUGCCACACAAAUACACAAUGAAAACGUAUUCCUCAAACCUCAGCCGCCAUCAAUGGACAAUGGUCUCUACAAUCUUUACUAUACUGCUCUAGUAAUCUGCCUACACACAACAUUCCUCCACGUGUAUACGAGGGGCUCGCAGAAGCUAGCCGGCCGUGUCGUCUACGCCGGCUUGUCAUGACCCAUCCGCGCGUUCACGGAGUAGUACCCCCUCUUCAUCUUGCUGCUGUCGUGGGUGUCCACCUCGACGGCGAACACGCCACACACCGGACGGUGGUCGGAGAACCUGGACUCGCCGCGCAGGUACUGCAGCUGCUCGAUGCCGUCGCCGUGCCACAGUAUCCGGUCGCACCUACACUGACAUGUAUGGCCUUCAGUAACAUAUACUGUACGUCAGAUGAAGAAUUACAAUAAUGUCGGGGUGAUCGGUCGAUCGAAUACCAUGCCGGCGUCCUCCGCUUCUUCUUGGACUUGGCCGUCUCGCCGGCGUACGCGUCGGAGUUGUGCGUGUACUUGUACGUCGGCGCGAAGCAGAUCUUGCCUUCGUUCCAGCCACUGAACACUCUCCCUGCUUCUCUCUCAAUUAUCAGCUGCACAUGCAAAUUAUUGUGUUUAACUGUACGUUUAUGGUGAAAAUUUGGCCAAGCUAGUAGGUGUUCAGAUGCAGGAUUGCCAGAGAGACGUCACUGCCUGAUGAUCAAAGCUGCUGUAGAUAGUGUUCGUACCUGAUCUUUCUUCAGAAGCUCGUCCCAGUCAUUCUCCUCCAGCAACGUUCUUGUCUCUUCGUAGCUCAGCGACACUCGAUAGUUCAGGUCACCGAGCCAUAUCAUCCGGCUGUUUUAACAUUGUGAAUUUUCGUUAAUUAGCACUGCAAGAUUGUGGUGGAUCAUAUCAUAGGUGCUUUCGUUGUAAAGCUUAAUUACUCGUGGUCAAGAAUCUUUUCCGGGACGCGAUGGCUGGCCGGCAGCUUGCAGGCGCGCGGGAAGUGCGCGCUCCUGAUGAUCUCGGCGACGUCGGCGUUGCGGCGCAGCUCGUCGCCCUCCUUCUCGCCGGAGGCCAGGUGGCUGCAGACGAAGCAGAAGCUGGUGCGGUGCAGCGUCAUGCUGAUGGCGAUGCAGCCCUUGUUGCCGAGCCAGCCCAUGAUGCCCCUGCCGACGCAGUCCACGCGGAGGUGGCCGAUGUGCUCCACCAGCUCCCGCUUCACCCACACCGACAGGAACAGCCCCACCAUCUGCUUGCUCCCGAUCAGGCAGUAGCUCAUGCCGCAGCCAGGCUCGCACUGCGCCGCCGGCGAGCCUGCUGCGGCGGCGUCGUCUGCUGCUGCGUCGGUGGCGUCGUUGUUGCACCCGCUGGUGGAUGUCUCGCCGCCGCUCGCGGUGCUCAUGGACGACGCCGCCGCCGCCGCCGCCGCUUCGGCCUCGGCCUCGACCUCGGCGCGGUACACGGACGCGCGUAUCUCCGUCGCCCUGCGGCGCAUGGACGACGGCUCGGCGGAGCAGUUGCACGUCUUGACGAGCGCGCUGUCGACGCGGUAGCUGUUGCUCAGCACCUUGAGCGACGGCGUCUGGAAGAAGAGGGAGGAGUCUCGGCGGCGGUGAUGAUGGCGCCGGGCUUCUGCAGGCGGCGACGGAUCCGGCGGUGGCGGGUCGUCGUCGUCGUCGGGCUGCUCCUGGGGCUCGUUCAGCGCCUGGUGGAUGAGAGCCAGCCACCUGGACGCCGGCUCGUUGUCCUCCACCACCAGCACGUUCCCGGCGGUCAGGGGAACUAUCUCCUGAAACCUACGUACUCGUGGCGUCAGAUUAAAUUCAGAGACAUGCAACACCUACGUAUGCCAAAAGAUAUGGAGUCCAAAUCCAAACACAAAUUAUACGAAACAUUUCGACAUGUGAAAUUUGGCCGUACCCUAAGACGUAAAUGUCAGGUGAUUCUUCAACCUGGAGAAAAUCUUGCAGGUUAAGCCUGUUACUCGGAGUCUUUCCUCCAACAUUCCAUGUAGCAACAAACAUCCUGCAUCCAUGAAUUAGAUGGGGGUCACCAUGGCCAUAUCAUCUUUUGUAGGAGUAGGAGUAGUACUACAUGAUUUGAUCAUAGUCAAAUAAGGUUCAAAUCAAUUGAACAUCAUCGUGAUUACUGGUACUGGCGUGUAUCAUCCUUCUGCCUAUUGGGCAAAUCCACAUAGUGCAGGCUCGCGCUCUUCAACCGUGCCCGUGCUGCAUUGCAGCUCUGUGGAUCUGAAACAUCAACGAAAUUUUAUAUAUUUGCAAAGACUAUCUGAAAUGUGUCAUGGGCAAUUCCAACCAAUUUUCCAUAUUGCUGUAAAACUGAAAUUGAAUGAUGAUGCAAGCAGCUCACAAAAUACAGAAGUUGCUAACCUGCAACAUUCAGGUCCUUCCCUUGCAUGGCGAAGACGUUGGAAAUGACGCACUGUGAGCACAAAUUAAACGGCGCAAUCAGAAAUGCACAUUGCAGAAUAUAAUCCUGUUUCCUGUUUUCACCAUGGUUACAGUACUGUUGGAUUGCAAGACGUUGAGGACCUGAUCGCUACCUGUCUCCUCGUUGUAGUUCACGUGAUCUGUUGCUUGAGAAGGAACACGAAGGUUUCCGCCAUUUCUGCCGCUCCGAGUUUGACGCGAAGGAUGCUCUGCUCAUCCAAGCUAUUCGAGAGAGAAAUGUGGGGAGGUAGACGACGGAGAAAGGGGCAGGGGAAACGGAGGGUCAUUGGGUGGUUGGGAGGGACUUGUGUGGAAGGCUGCUUGAAAUGCCACGAAAGCAGGGCAUGGUGUUCGUUUGCCCCGGUCAACUUUUUUUCUCCCUCGUUUCUCCUGUUCUCAAGGCCAGCUUAAAAAAAUUGAAAUAUGAACAAAAGGCCAAGUUCUAAGGAUUUUGUAUAACUUCGAAUAAAACCCUAUAAUUUCUGAAAUAGUUGUUCCUCAUGAGCAGUCUUUUGAUUUGACUCUCAUGUCCUACUCAGAACUUCAUUAGCGAUUAUUGUGAUCUGAAAUAGUUGUUCCUAUGACGUGGAUGAUAUCAUUCCUAGUGGACUCCAGCUGCUUUGUCAAGAGGAGAUUAUAAUUUGCACAUUAGGCCUUAGCUUCAUGGCGAAGGGUUGAUCACGCAGUUAGGCCUUAGAGCAUCUCCAACGAUAGGAGAAAAUCUCAAAACCCAAAAACUAGUUUAUUGGUGGAGCUCUGAUAUUGUUUUGAGGAUUUUAAAAAGACAUCUCCAACAGAACUAGAAAAUCUCACCCCCCAAUGUCUUCUCUACAUAACCCCAAAAUUAUCUAGGGUGGACUAUUUCACCCAUAGAACUAUAAAACCGGAUAUUCUACUAUCUAAACUUUCAAAACUGAUCGAAUAACUCCCUCAAGUGGUUUUGGAGGGUGGUUUUGUCUUUUUUUUAUUUCUAAUAAAUCUUUGAAAAAUCAUAAUAAAUCACAAAAAAAUCAUAAAAUAAAAAAUUUAAUUUUGUUGUACCCUGAUAAGUAGAUCUACUAAAGUAUACCAUAUUAUAUAUUCACUGUGUAGAUCUAUUCAUUAGGAGUCCAACAAAAUUGAAAAUUUUAUUUUAUGAUUUUUCAAAGAUUCAACGGAAAUAAAUUUAAAAAGAAAAAGACAAACCACCCUCCAAAACCACUCGAAUGGUUAUUUGACUGGUUUUGAAAGUUCAAGGGGUAGAAUAUCCGGUUUUAUAGUUUAAGAUGUGAAAUAGUCCACCCUAGAUAGUGUGGGGGGUUAUAUAGACUUUUUCUAUAUCUUCUGUGACAUGUGAGCCCAAUUUAUCAUUCACAGUCUUUCUUCUAUUUUUUCUCUCCCACCACCUAUUCAUUCCUCACAACCUCUAACUCUCUGAGCGUCGCAUUGGCGCAUCCUCUUCCUCCGUCACCACUCCCUCCUUUCCUACACUCCUCCCAUACUGCUCCUCCUCAGCCACCUCUCCUCACUGUCAUCAUCUCAUUUGUUGGGCAUAUCACCAAGCCGCACCGCAUCUUCUUCCACCGCCGCGCUCUCUCUUCCUCUGCCGUCCUCCUGCCUCCUACUUCGAGAUCGCCAAUAACUUGGAAGACGCGAGUUGCGUGCUACCGCUCAUAUUGGGGGCGAGUCCAAGUCCCUCAUCUUUGAGAGGUCGUGGUCUAGAUUUUGAGCGGGUGAGAAAAAUUUAGCUCAUUGGAAGUGAAAUUGGGGUACUAGAGCUCUCAAAUCUCUCAAAUUAUAGUUUUUUCUUAUCGGUUGUGGAAAUUUAGGCCUUAGCUAGCGAAGGGUUAAUUGCACAGUUGGGCCACAGGCCUUACCUUGGCAGCAAAAUGUUUAUGGCACAAUUUUAUGGCACAAUUGCCUUGUUCGAUCUCUUGACCUGAGGUCUAGAGUUCAAAGCCAUCUUACCCAGCACCAGCUGAGCUUGGUAUUUUCUCUUUUCCUUCCUUUUCUUUUAACAAAAAAAACAUCUUUUUUCUCUCUCUAAUCUAAACAAAAAAUCAUGAACGAUUUCUGUGUUGUCCUCUUCUUCUCCGACCUGUAUUCCGCAUUCCAUCUUAUAUAUAUUCAGUUCCCUCAUCGCCCGCACGCCGGCGGCUGCCAAGGAAUUGGAAGGGUUAUCGUCUCCGUUUCAACGCUGCCUGCCUCCCAACUCCCAAGUCCGAUACGGCCGUAGUAAGAUAAACCGAUCGCUCGGUCCGGCUCCGACUCGCCGCCCGCGUUUCAGCAGGCUUCACCAGCGACACCGCCGCCGCCACCGCCGCGCCGUCCAUAAAUACUACUCCUCCGCUCCCUACGCAGAUCGCCAGCAGCAUUUGAAGGAUCAAAGAUCGGAGUUAGACGCCACGGCUCGCAGCGCGCGACAGCCGCCUGUGACUCGAUCGGUCAUCCUUGCCGCCCGCCCGCCCGCCGCCACGCACGGCGCCGAUGAGUUUCCAGGACGUCUGCCACGACCUGGAGGCGGGCCACCCGCUCCCGCCGCGUCCCCCGCCGCCGCCGCCGCCGCGGGCCGUGGUGGCGCACUGCGUCUUCCAGAUCAACACCAAGGUGUCGGAGCUCCGCCGCCUCGCGCACGAGCUCGGCGCCGCCGGACUAGGGGGCAACGGCGACGCCCGCGUGGUCCGUGAGCGCAUCCGCAGGGCGCGCGCCGACGUCACGCGCCUGGCUCGGAACACGGCGCGGAGGCUGGCCGACCCCGCCGCCGCCGCCGCGGUCGGGCCUAACCUGGCCGCGGACUUCCAGGCCGCGCUCAGGGAGUUCCAGUGGGUGCAGGACCGGAUCAUCGAGGCCGAUCGCCAGGAAACCGCCGCCGCCGCCGCCGCCGCCCGUCUUGCGCCGCCGCUGAUGUUUCCUCCUCCGUCGCCGCCGAGCUACGGCUCUCCCAUACGAUCAUCACAACUGAACAAUGCCAAUACCAAUGCCACUGCCGGCGCUGCCGAUCAGCAAUGCAACAUCCAGAUGCAGCAACAGCAGCAGCUGGUGGAAUCACGGAGGACGCAGGAGCUAGCCCUGCUGGACAACGAGAUCGCCUUCAACGAGGCCCUCGUCGAGGAGAGGGGGCGGGAGAUAUGCAAGAUUCAGCAGGAGAUCGCUGAGAUCAACGAGAUCUUCGUGGAGCUCGCAAAGCUAGUCCGUGACCAGCAAUGGAACAUCGAUGUCGUCGAGUCCAACGUGGAGAAGGCCGCCAUGGAGACGAGCAAGGCGGAAGAGAAGCUCUCCAAGGCCGCACUGACGCAUGAGACGAACUCGUCGAUGAACUGCUUGCUGAUCACUGUUUUUGGGCUCGUCAUGUUGAUCUUUGCGUUAGUGUUUGUAGCGUAGUAUCCUGCAUGCUAGAACUGUAGUAGUCUGACGAACGAGCUUUGGCCUUUAAUUGGGCGAAGAAUUCUUUCGUCGCCUUUUCUUGUAUAUACUCCUCUAUACCCCUAAACAAAGUUGUUUAGGAUAGCGAUUCGGUCUUUAAAGCCUAACUUUAACUCUUUAUUUUUAUAAAAAAUAAAAUAUGCUAUAUUUCAUAUGCCUCUUUUUGCUUGUCUAAAAAGUCAUGGCUGAAAAUGUUAUUCGUUGAUUUAUUCUGAAAGAAAAACACUGUUGAAUGAGUGGCAGAUUUAGCUGAUAAUAGCUCAAGUGAACAGGUGCCUGUUCGCUUGAACUUAUUUGUCAAAUUUCUCAAUCAUUCAACAAUAUUUUUUCUUUUACAAUAAAUUAGCAAACAAACAUGACUUUUCAGCUGGUGCCUGUAGCUAAUAAGAUAAUUGGGAAGAACCAAACAGGUACAAGGGGAGAAACAUUCUAGAGGGGGUUGUGGUUCUUCAUGAAGUUUUGCAUGAGCUACAUAGAUCAAAGGCAAGGAGCCUAGUGUUAAAAGUAGACUUUGAAAAGGCUUAUGACAGAGUGAGGUGGGAUUUCCUUGAGAAAGUAAUGAAAGGAAAAGGGUUUCCUACCAAAUGGAUUAAUUGGACAAUGAGCACUGUGAGAGGUGGAAGGGUUUGCAUUAAUGUUAAUGGUGAAAGGAGUGAAUACUUCAGAACUUAUAGGGGUCUGAGGCAAGGGGAUCCUCUUUCCCCUCUUCUCUUUAACAUUGUUGCUGAUGCUCUAGGAGUUAUGCUACAAUCUGCUGUUAGCAAGGGGCAUCUUUCUGGUGUGUUAACCGACCUGAUUUCUGGGGGUGUUUCACACAUACAGUAUGCUGAUGAUACGGUCAUCAUGAUUGAAGCUACUGAACAAUCAAUUAGAAAUCUAAAACUCAUUCUUUAUUGUUUUGAGUGGCUUACGGGUUUAAAAAUAAAUUAUCAUAAGAGUGAAGUCUUUGUUUUUUUGGUGUUACUUGGCGGGAAAAGGAGAAGAUGGCUAAUAUAUUGAAUUGUGUGCUAGGAGAGUUUCCUAUGAAAUAUCUAGGUAUCCCUAUUAGCUAUAAACAUUUGAACAUGAGCGCUUUUAGUCCUAUGACUCAGAAAAUGGUUAAAAGGCUGGAUCCUUGGAAAGGUAAAUUGAUGACUUCAGGGGGGAGACAAAUUCUGACAAAUUCUUGCUUGAGUUCUAUUCCUCUCUACUGCAUGGGUUUCUAUCUUCUCAAAGAUGGGGUGCACAAAAAGAUGGAUUCUAUUAGGGCCAAAUUUCUCUGGCAAGGUGCUGAUGAGAAAUUUAAAUACCACAUGGCCAAGUUUGAAAUGGUUUGUAGACCUAAAGACCAAUGGGGUCUAGGCAUCAUUAAUACCAAAAUAAUGAAUGAAUGUCUUCUGGUAAAAUGGAUCUGGAAAAUCUACCAACAACCAGAUGAACUUUGGUUCAAAAUUUUGAAAGCAAAGUACUUGAGGGAUAAUAACUUCUUUGACUCCAAAUCUGCAGGAGGUUCUCAAUUUUGGAAAGGUUUACAUAAUAUCAAACAUCUCUUUAAGUGGGGUGCUGUCUUCAAGGUGGGGGAUGGUAAGCUGUGUAGAUUUUGGGAAGAUUGUUGGCUACAAGGAGCUCCAUUGAAAUUGGUCUACAAUGAUUUGUAUAACCUGAUUAGGGACCCUUUCUGUCAUGUUGCGGACUGUUGGGAUGAGGGUUCCUGGGGUCUUGAUUUUAAAAGAUGCCUUUCAAUACAACAAUAUGAUAGAUGGUUGGGGUUAUUGAACUUGCUAAAUGAUUGUGCGUUGACUGACAAUAGAGCUGAUAAAGUUUUAUGGGCGUUGGAAAAGAAGAACCAUUUCACAACUAAGUCCUUGUAUCAUUUUUUGACUGACAGGGGUGUCAAGAGUAGGGUUGCAGGUUUUAUCUGGAAAAGUAGGGUUCCCCUUAAAAUUAUGUUCUUUCUUUGGCAACUUCUUAAUGACAAAUUGCAAGUGGCUGUUAACCUGGCUAAAAAGGGGUGGAAAGGAAGCUUAAUUUGUUGUCUUUGUGGUUGCACUGAAACUGCAGAUCACAUCUUCUUUAAGUGUCAUUUGGCCAAAUUGAUCUGGGAAAUGCUUAAGGAAGUUUUUCAUCUGGAUUCUUAUCCUAAAUCAUGGGAAGAUUUUUGCGAUACUUGGUUAAGGGGCAAGGGGCCCUUUCCGAUUAGAUUGAUCAUUUUCAUAUUUUCAGGCUUUGCUUGGGCUUUAUGGACUGCCAGAAACAAGAUGGCUAUUAACAAGGCGUUUCCUCGUGCCCCCACUGAUAUCAUAUACAUUGCAUUGUCGUUACUGCAGAAGUGGAGCGCCAAACUUAAGGAGAAAGAUCAUGAGCAGAUCAUCAAGAUGAAGGCUACUGUCACAAGUUGGAUCAAAGACUUCAAGCCUAGCUCGAUCAAUCCUUCUGAAAUAGUUGAGAUCUAAUGGUGCAGUUUUUUUGGUUUUCGCUGUUAUGCUUUGUCUGGAACUGGUAUCCCCAGUUGUCUUGCUGUACCGUUACUUUUCUUUCUAAAAAGCAGAGGUUUCUUGCCUCUUAUAAAAAAACAUGACUUUUCAGACAAUAGUGGUUUUCCAGGCAACAGUCAUGCUCCUUACUAUUAGUAAUCCCUCAUAAGCAAGCCAACCGUCAUAGACUGUGUGCCUGCCACCAUUGUUUGAACGUUUAGGCGCCUCAGAGGUUGGAAAAAAUAUAAAAAAAUUAUCAAAAAAUGGUAUAUGUAUGUUUUUAUCAAAGUAUUUUUAAGACAAAUCUAUACAUAUAGUUUUUCACAUUUCUAAACUCAACAGUUUAAAAGUUAUUUAUAAUUUAUGUUCUUAAUGUUUGACCCAAACUCUGUUCACAACGACUUUCUUUUGUAGGUAGGAAGGGCGUAUAUAAAAACAAAGCAUGUCAAUGAUCCUCGGGAUUUUGCUGCCUAACUCUUGAUUGAUUUAUGAGGAUGUUUCCCAAUCUUGUGAUAGAUUUAGGUUGAGAGAAUCUACCAAAUUUCUAACCUUUCGAUUGAUGGCCAACUUCAUGUUUUAUGGUGGUGGCUGUGAAAAACUCCUACGACGUUGGGGAUUUGAUUGGGGUUUAGACUUUCGAGGCAAAUUUGUGGUCUCUAGCUCUUGAAAAGAUGGUUAGUGAACCUAGAGGUUUUGGUGCCUUGGUGGUGAAAAACUCUAGCGAACUUAGGGAUUUGAUUAGAGUUGGAUUUAGCCUUUCGAGAGAGAUUUCUAGCUUCUAGCUAUUGAAAAGAUGGUUACAGAAACAGGUCUAGUGGUGGUAGGGUGGAGGCCUUGAGGCAUUUUAGCAUAAAAAGCAAGUGUUUCUCAAAGGAUGACCAUGGUCCUGUUAGGUUUAAGGAAGAAAAUUAGCUAUUUUCCGUAACGGGCAUUGCAAAUUUGUCAGUUGUUUCAUCCUAUGCAUACACACCCACAUCGCCACACGGAAACAAAUUUAGUGAUGUCAAGCUCCAAACCUCUAGACGUAUAUAUUGCCUUUGAUAUGUGGCACAUGUUCGCACACAUGAAAAAUUCGCACACACGAAAAAUGUACUUGGUGUCUAGCUUACCACUCUAUUGAGUACAUCUAGGACUUGGGUGACAACCUUGUCAACGAAGGUUUCAUGUCCCACCUACUUGCAGAAUCCUACAUUAGACAUGUAACUAGAUGGCUAGCACUUUAUUAUUUCUGUAUAUGCUAUGGGCGUCUCCAACAGCUAGCUAUUUGUCUAGCUAUUAUGAUGUGGAUAGUGAAAAAAUAGGAGAGAGAAGUCCCUAGGGACGAAUAAAUAGCUGAUCUAUUUUAUGUAGUUCAAGAAUUUGUGAGAAAAACAUAUGUGUCCAAUAGUAUGUAAAAAAAUAAUAAUAUAUAAAAUAGUCUUUGAUUUUAUCUCUCACCUCUAUGUCAGCUAGCUACAUAGCUAGCACCAUUGUGGACACCCUAUAUUGUAAUGGUGCAUGUUAGAUUAAUUAUGAGCCUUGUUUUGUCAUAACCUGUCACCUUGGCCUACCCACUCUUAGGAUAAUAAACACUUGCUUUUAUACGCGUGCUACUGUUGGCAUAGGUGUACACGCUCUAUAGAGUUUUAGGGCCUUGUUUACUUCCACCACAAAACCCAAAAUUUUUCAAGAUUUCCCGUCACAUCGAAUCUUUAGACGCAUGCAUAGAGUAUUAAAUAUAGAUGAAAAUAAAAACUAAUUACACAGUUUGGUCAGAAUUUACGAGACGAAUCUUUUAAGCCUAACUAGUCCAUGGUUGGACAAUAAUUACCAUAAACAAACGAAAGUGCUACAGUGUCACAAAAUUUUUCCCUUCAGAAACUAAACACGGCCUAGAUCAAUGGCCAUUCAUGUUCUUCUGCUUUACUUCGACUACUAUGGGACAAGUGCUUUUCUCCCUUGGUUGGUUUAGGUCUAGGUUGAGGCCGUUGAGGCAAGGAUGGGUGGGAUUGCGAAGAUGCCAGCGCAUGGUUGUGGAGGUGAACUAUCAAGGGCUGCCCACGUGCGUUGGUGGUGGCCGGGCACUCAAUUUGUGAAUGAUGCUUCGCUCUAGAGUCGAGGAGAGGCUAGGUGGAUUGGUGGAUGUGUUUUCGAUAGAGUUUCCUAGGUCGCUUAUAAAGUUCUCUCUGACCCCUCUCUACGUACAUGAUCUGAACUCAUCUAUACAACAUACUUAGGCCAACUCCAACAAUUGGCUUUUAAGGUAGCUCUAAGUAUUUUUCUCAUAUUUUAAUAGAAGAGAGAGAAAAGUUAGCUCUUGAUUAAGAGCUAAUCUCUUAUACACAUUUCAAGGUUGUGUGAGAGUAUCAUGUGGGGCUAUCUAUGUUGAAAGCUAUAUGCUAAAAGUUAGCAUUAUUGGAGAAAGUUAGCUUAAAGCUAGUAACUAAACUAAUCAUUGUGGGUGCCUUUACUAGCAAAUAAUUAGUGACCCCGAGAGAAUGAGAGGUAAUAAUUAGCCAUAACACUAUUUUGGUUACAUCAUCAUGCAUUAAUAAUGCUACAAAAUAUACAUGCAUGCAUAUGGUAGAAUUAAAACUCAGUUACAUUGGGUUCAAGUUGUUGCUCAUGCGACCUCACAUACCUGAAAGCUUACACAUACAUGUCAGGCCUUGUCUAGAUGUAGUUGAAUUCACAUUAAUACAUAGGCAUUAGAAUGGGUUAGAGUAGAAUUUGAACUAAAUUUCAUCUCAACUCACCCAACACAUAUGGAUUGAGAUGAAUCCGACAACGUCUAAAUAAGACCUGGGAAAAAUCAUCGAGAAGAAAUGUGAAGCUUGAAGCCAAGGAAUUGCAUGGACGUGAGAUGUCAAAUCAUCUAGAUGCUAUGAGAAGUCGCACCUCUGUACUAUUUUAUUACAAGUAGUAAUAAAGGAAAAUUCUCAACACACACCCACACACACAUUGGACUUAGACAGGAAGACAUAUAGUGUACAGGCUUUAUAUAUCCUCACUGGGAACACUGGGAUUAGAUCCUUAGCCAACUCACACCUAGAAAGUUAAGGCAUAUGCUCCCAUCCCAUGCACCUUUUCUAUAGGAGGCAGGGCAAAAGGCUCGAUCCAUCUUCUCUACCGGUCGCCGUGCUUGUGCCACGGUGCACUAGCCCCGUCAGUGCCAACAGAUAGCAUAAGCUUUAGGUUGCUCUCCAUGCUAGGUUCGCGCCUCCUCUCCCCAAGUUUUAAAGAUUCGAAUAUUUUGGUGUAAUAUUGUUGUUUUUUGUCUUUAGUUAGUGGUUAGAGGGGACAGAUUAAAAGUUGGGCAGUGAUUCUGGUGGGGAUUUGAUGUGCAGUGGUUCAAAGCCGUGAAUUCGCUCAGUUCGUGGUGUGUUUUUAGGGUUUUGGGUUGUGCUUUGUAGAUUAAUUGGAUUGAUUGGAAAUGCAAGGUGCAUGCUCAUCUAAAUAAAUAGUUGGUUGAGUACCAGUUCACUAGAUAAAUAGUCACUAAAUCAAACAACCUACACUUCCUUUUCAUGCACUGAAGUAUGUGUUUUAAGUUUUGAUCCAUUUGCAUUUGCAAAUGUCUUCCUACUUGCCAUAUUAACCAAAUAUUCUCCCUCCAUUCUCACGGUCAUGUUCUCUACAACAUACCUUCUUACUCGAUUAUGGAAAAUCAAACAACCCAUCUAGCUGCUCAUUUCUCCGACCUUGCUCUUGGAGAUAAGGUAGAUGCCAGUGUCAUCUUCGAAGCAGUUUCUGUAGUGCUGGUGGUGCUCACGACACUAGUCGUGCAUUGUUUAGCACUGCUGGUGAGGGAGUGUGUGUGCUUAGCAAACAUACGAUGCGGAUGUGGCACGGUCAAGUGAGGUGCAACUAUCAGCUGCAUGGACGGAUCUAGGGGUGGGGCGUCAGGGGGAGGGGGCUCAAGCCCCCUACCACUGCUGAUCCCAUGAAGCCCUCUAGAGACCAACCAAGAAUCUUUGCCUUGACUGCUUUGAGGAGGAGAGGUUGAGCUCCAAGGUCAGGUCGCAGGGCUAGAGCGGAGGUGCCACAACAUCUGUGAGGAGCUUGCACACAAGAAACAAAAGUGUUGUGGAGCGGAAGCUAACCCUAAUAGAGGAGUCCAGAAGAAAGCUCAACAGAUAAGCUAUGCCAUAUACAUGGAGGCAAUGUGAGAGGUGGAGCAGCUCCAGGGCCUCCUAGCAAUUUGGCCUAUGCUUUGUAGAUUAAUCAGCUCUCCGAGUGGGAUCUAGACUGACUAGACUCCGGUGGGCUGAUUCAGCCCACGUAAUGAUUGUUUGGUUUAAACCCCGAAAAAAUCUUUUGAAAGCCGUUGAGGCUAUACUCCUUUAGUUAUUAGCUCUAAUAGUUCCUCAAAAGUUAUUAGCUCUAAAGAAAACCAAGGCCUUUAGUUUGCCUUUUAUCUACAGGGAACUAAAUCAUCGUAUUUUUUCAAUAACUUCAAAUAUAAUCAUUUCUAGCUUUACUUAUUAAAGUUAAAAUAUAUAUGAUAGAGCUACGCGAUUAAAUAGAUCUAGCACUCUAGCUUGUCUAUGAGGACUAGAAAGUAUGAGGUAAAAAAAGGAAAACAAAUGUAUAUCAUUCUCCUCAACAAAUUCAACUAAAUAUACAACAUAUGAUGCUACUUCUACCCCAUACUAAAGUCAUUGCACAUGUUUGUUUACAAAAGAAACUCCAAUUGAUGAAUUUCGUCCCAGUCAUAAAUGCUUCUCAUGCCAAGAAUUUGUUUACAGUUUGUUCCCUUGGUAGAAAAGCCAUGACUGAAAAGAUAUUGUUCGCUAAUUUGUUGUGAGAGAAAAACAUUACUGAAUGGCUAAUAGAUAAGCUCAAGCGAACAGGACCUUAAUUAACCAUUUCUCCAAAAAAGCAGACAUGGUCGACAAAGAAAUAUCGAGCCAUGAUCCAAGUGGAGUGUCUGAAACGUCAUGAGGUAACAACAUAUCAUAAAGUUAGCGUCAGUCGGAAUAUUCAAUGGGAACUAAACUUACUAGAUUAUUCAAUAUUCACUGACCUUUUACUGAACCAUACUAUCAAGCUUCUGUCUGUAUUUAGCCAAGGUCUGCAAGCAGGUUAAUGCGAACAACACGGAUAAGUUAAUAAAUGGCAGAAUUUCAAAAAGGAAAUAUAGUACAAGGAACUCAUAAAAACUAUUAAAGAAAAGAUAAUAUGUAUGUGUUAUCUGUAACACAGAUAAAUGAAUAUGCAUGCAAUUAAAAAUGUUAAGUCAACAAGGGCUUCCACAGUACCACCUGAAACAGUGGUUUAACUUUGUGAAAGAAAAAGUAGCAAUAUAUUUUAAAAUCAUUAGUUUGAGCACAAAACCUAUUGCCAUCAAACACAACCAACUUUAAAAUAAGAAGAUUUCUAUGUGUCCUUUUUACAUUUAACAAAGGUUUAAGUAAAAUUUUCUGAGGUUCAUUAAAUUGCUCAACGGUUAGAAUCAUGUAAAACACAAACACAUGAGCUUUGUGAGCAUUCAGAUAUUGACCAGCAGAACUGUUAUCUUCUUGGACAAUCUGUUUUGAAAUGUAAUGUGCUCAGCAAAUUGUUUAGUCUGACAGACAAUAAGCUUCAUAAAAUGGAGUAUCGUCCUUUCUUAGAAACAUGGGGGAAAGAAUCUCACCCUGGUAUAAGCAUAAACACUGGCCUCUGAAGGUCCUACCGGGCUGCCACGGCGAAUAAACUUUCCUUCCUUGAAUAUGUAAAGCAUGGGAAUGCCAGUAGACAGCUCAAGGCUUAUUACCUGAAGGGACGAAAGGCUCACUCCCAAAUUUGACAUAAUGCUACAUUUUCUGUUUAGCGGAGUCCUUUUUGAGGGAAUGAUAAAAAAGACAGUAAAUUACCUCUUGAGAAGUUAGUUUGUCCAGAUGCAUUAUAAUUGAACGAAGUGAAUUCCCAUGUGCAGCAACCAUCACAUGUUUACCAGCCACAAGUUGUGGAACAAUCUAUUAGGGGAAAAAAACGACUAUAGGUCAGAUUGAACUAAAAAAAAACUGUUUUUAGAGUCGAAGAUAAAUAAAAGAUUCAGGCUAUAAAUUUGAUAUGAGCUAGCACAAUGGAAAGAAAACUAAGCACAUGCAUUGGCGCAUUGCACAGUAGAGGAAUUCAUCAAUUCAACACAUAACCUUUAGCAUAGCUACCAAUACUACAACAGUUAGCAGCAGGGAGACCAAUAAUCCAAAUAAAUAGUGUAUCUUCCAAUUAAUGUAAAAUGGCCUUGCGAACUAUACCUGAUCUUUGAAAUAAGCAACAGCUCUCUCAGCACACAUCUCUAGGCUUUCUCCAUUUGGGGGAGGGAUAUCAUAACUGCGGCGCCACUCAUGAACUUGUUCUUUGCCAAACCGAUCUGCAGUUUCUUGCUUAUUAAGGCCUUGUAACUCACCAUACCUAGAAAUGUCAAGGGAUAUUUCAAGAGAAAAAUACAGUCAAACAACUAUAAUAAUUACAUAAUUAGCAAAUCAAAGAAUAUGGAGAAAGUAUUACAUUCUUUCAUUCAAUUGCCAAGCUGUUAUGACUGGAAUGGAGUGUUUCCUUGUCUCCUCACUGUAUAUCUGACUCCACCUGUGAGCUUGUUCACUCUCAUUAUGCAUGAUAACUGGGAUCUGUAAAUACAUAAAACACAGCAGCAUGAUUUUUCAGGGCAGUUGAUACACAUGCUAGAAGAAACUACUGGGACGUUUUCAUAAAGGGAAGACACACAAACCUUCUUGCGCCGAUGCUGCAUCAUGGCAAGCAUUGCGGUCAUCUGAGCACGAAUCAGUGAUGAAGUAUAUAUUACAUCGAUUGGGAUAUUGCAUAUCCUUUUACCUGCCUCAAUGGCCUCCUCAACACCCUUUGGUGUCAGGGGUACAUCAACACAGCCAGUAAACAGAUUUUUCUCAUUCCACAGGGAUUCACCAUGCCGAAUCAAUAUAAGAGCGCUUUCACCUGCAACGACACAAAGAUCACAGAUUAACAGAACUUAUUAUAUGCCCCAAAUUUGCGAAGCCCAAAGUUAAAUGUGGCAAAUGGCCAAUUUUCUCAAAAAAAACAAACAAACAAGUAACCACUAUACGAUUUCGUUGAAAUGGAAGUCCAUAAAAUUACUUGAUUUCUUUGGGGUGUGGCCACUGUUGCCAUCCGAUGGUAGGUGCAUCGGCUCCAUGACAGAAGACUGCUGCGAGCUCGAGGCCCAAACCAAACCCAGUUUUCGGCUGCCUGAACCACAACUUCCCUUUACAUAAACCAAGCGGGCACUGCCCGUCCUCUUUUCGAAUCUAUAGUUCUUUGCACUGCACCAGUGGGAUUGCGAAGAUGCCAGCGCAUGGUGAGAAAGAACCCCAGCCAUUCUAAUCCAAGAAAAAGAAAAAAACAGUAGUUAGCAGCUGGUUCUGCUUGUAAUGACUUCUGGGAAGAGAUUGAACAAUUAUUCACUCGCUAAAUUUAAUAAUGAAACAGACUGCAUUAAUCACUUAAUUCGACCAUUUGGCCAUGGAUCAAAACUAAUCCAAGAAACCAACAUAAGAUUGAUGAACUCUUCCAGUGAGAACAUUGGGCAAGAGCAAUAAAAUGGCAUACAUGACCAAUAAAAAUGAGCAAGUCCUCAAUGAAGCGCACCUCAAGAACUCAAUGCGGCACCAGCACCAGGGGGAGAUGGAGUUGGUUCCCCCUCUUAUAGCCCUGGCCCCUGGUUCUCUGGCACCUGGACUCCCAACAAGCUCGGAGAAACCAAGUGGCAGAGCACGUCGGAGAGAUCUAGAGCGGCGUGGUUGGACUUUGGAGGGGAUCGCCGGGAGCACCAAGGAAACCGAGAAGAAGACAAGGAAAAGGGCGUUGCUUUUCGACAGGUCCCUUUCCCGAGUUCUUGCGCUGGCGGUGCGUGUGCUUGUCUCUUGCGGGCGGGGCGGCGGGCGGAGGCUGGAAGGCUGGGUUUUUGAAGCCGAAGGAGAAAGAAAAAGUGAAAUGGGCCAUGGAGUUAGGCGCCGCAAGACAUGGAUUAAACAGGGAAACAAAAAAAGUAAUUUGGUUCUACUGCAGUUCUUAAAUAGGAGUAUUUGCAUUUCAAACAAGUUUUUAAAAAACCUUUUAUAGACCAUUUCUAGUCAAUGGUAAAAAAAGGAAACCCCAUUCUAGAAAAAGAGAACACAAGGGAAAACAUAUAUGAAAUGGUUAUAUGACUGAAAGAGGGCACGGUAUGGCAUGCGUGCAAGCACGGCCAUAACUAGGAAAUUAGUAGGAGGUUAGUUAAACAAUUAUUCACUCGCUAAUUUUAUAAUGACACCAGCUGUAUUAAUCACUCUGUCUCGACGAAGACGACGACCAAACCAGGAGCACUGAGCACAUGUCCACUCCUCCCCUGCACGAGAGAAUAUUCCUUUGAGAAUUGAGAUCUCCCUCGUCCUAGGAGUACUCCAUUUUAGCUGACUGACAUGUAACAUGUUGAGUAUGUGACUGUACUCCUACUCGUUUUCAGUCAACUGAAUUGCAGAGAGAAGGCCCUACGUACUAAGUAUGAUGCUUUGGAGCACUCCUACUCGAGUUCAGUCAACUGAAUUGCAGAGAGAAGGGCCUAGCAAACUGCGGAAUUCAGCAACUCAACACUAAUCAUCAUUCUAUUAUAUAUAAACAAAAUCUAAAAAUUGAUCAACUCGUGCAGCGUGUAGAAUCUCGCAAUCCAUGCAUCAUCGCCGGUCCCAUUGGGCAUAGGUCUAAUCAUCAUUCUAUUUUAUAAAAAAAUAUUGUAAAAACUAACACAAUAAUAAAAAACAUUUAACUUUUAAUUGUUUUUUAUGAUUACAUGGUACAACUCAGGAUACUUACAAAAUACGCACGUAAUUUCUACCCUACAAGCAUCUUUGAAGACGAUGGACCAACAAACUCUUGAGAUUGACAAAGUCAGCGCAACACACAACAACAUACACACACAUCCCUAUGAACACACUCACACAAACCUUAUCCCUAUAAGCAUCCUUGAAGAUCAUGGGCCAACAAAUUCUUGAGAUUGACAAAGUCACUGUAGACGCCACACACCCCUAUAAACACACGUACACAAACCCAACAAAAUUUUGAGAUUGACAAAGUCACUAUAGACGCCACGCACCCCUAUAAACACACGUACACAAACCCUGCCCCUAUGAGCAUCUUCGAAGAUUAUGGGCCGAUAAAUGCUCGAGAUUGACAAUGCCAGUGCAGGUGCCACGCUAUUGGUGAAAACAUCACCUACCACUGAAAGCACAAACGUUAUAAAAUCUUAGAAAAUUCGCUCACACGGAGAGUUGAACCCAGAACGUGAUGAGGUGCUACUGAGGUUCCUGUACCCACUAGGCUACAUACCCUUUCGCCAUUUAGCCUUCAAUUCAACAUACUCUAACUAUUGUUAUCAAUAAUAGUGAGGAGAUCUAUUUUAUUUUAUAUAAAAAAAGCCACUUCUAACAUUGUGGAAAAAAAAUAACCCCCUCAAUUUAGGGGGAAAAGGGCUAGACAAGUUAUUGAAAAUACAUCUUGGGGCACAAAGGGCUAGACAAGUUGAAAAUCUCUUUAGGCAUUGUUCGAUUCCCAACCAUAUCCUGAAACUAUUUCUGCCAGAAAUACUCGGCUAAUUUAGGCCUCAUUUGGCACGGCUCCACUUCACAAGUGAAGCUGUUUUUAAGCCUUUAGCUCUGUGAACAACUCUAUUGCUGAAGUUAGAGUUGUUUGGUAAAUCAUUUAACAAAACAACUCCUUCAUUAAAAUAUGUUCUCACAUAACGCUAUGUAGGAUAGUGAAGCCGUGAGAAACUAUUAUUUUUAGCUCCUUCGCAUCCUCAAGCUCUGUGAGAACAUGUUUUUUUAUUCAUGAAAGCAUAUUUUUAUGGGCUUUAUCAGUGGAGCUAUUUUAUUUUAUCUUAUUUGGCAGAAAACGGCGGAGAAACCUUGCCAAACGGGGCCUUAUAUAAAUACUUUGAUGAGCUGGAAGGAUUCCUAGGUGAAAAUCUCUCUAACUAAGGCCUUGUUUAGUUCCAAAUUUUUUUGGAAAAUCGACACUAUAGCACUUUCGUUUGUAUUUGACAAAUAUUGUCCAAUCAUGGACUAACUACGCUCAAAAGAUUUGUCUCGUCAAUUUCGACAAAACUGUGCAAUUAGUUUUUAUUUCUGUCUAUAUUUAAUGCUCCAUGUAUGUCUAAAAAUUCAAUGUGAUAGGGAAUCUGAAAUAUUUUGCAAAAUUUUUUAGAAACUGGCCUUGUUUAGUUCCCAAAAAAUUUCAAGAUUCUCCGCCACAUCGAAUCUUGCGGCACAUGCAUAGAGUAUUAAAUUUAGACGAAAACAAAAAUUAAUUAUAUAGUUUGCCUGUAAAUCACGAGAUAAAUGUUUUGACCCUAAUUAGUAUAUGAUUGGACAAUAUUUGUCACAAACAAACGAAAGUACUAUAGUACCCAAAAUCCAAAUUUUUUGCCAACUAAACAAGGCCUAAACGAGCCCCUUAUUCAGCAGGUUGAAACAUCUGUUCUAGGCCCUCCCGGCACGCAUCCUCAGUAGGCCGCCACCAGCGUGGAUACGGAAUAAAGGCACAAGUUAUUAUUUUGUGAUUUGACAUUAAAGCAGCUCUUUAUUCGAUCAUAACGACGAUUCAGCAGACAACAUUCGUCCAGAAAUACAAUCCUCCCUGCCUCAUUUUUCCACGACAAACACAUGAUGAACAAAAUUAACAAAGCCAACCUUUUGAUAAUAAAGCACUGAUAGAUAUUUUCUCUUGCACACAAUGCAUGCAUGCAUGCAUGGCGCCCAUCCGUGACCGGUCACCGGUCCUUCAGUUUCGCAACAGGAGACUACAUCAUCAACCAUAUUUUUUUUUGGCUAUAUCAUCACAACAGAGUGAGACGUAACUGCAGUACACUUGUGACUUGCGCGGCACAACUACAGUCGUCUAUACAGGUGUAGCUUUCGCGCCGUUUGUUGCUCGCGGUUACACAGGUUGACCGCGCCCUCCCGACAAAUUCUCUCCUCCUUCCAUAAGAGCCACCACCGACCCCGGCCGGGCUACGGGUCAUCUUCUUCAUCCCCGGCGCGGCGGCCCUCCUCUUCUUCCCCUGCAAUAAUCUAGCUAGAGUGUGUUCUUUUUCAUCAGCAGAUCGAGGGGCAUUAUGGGGCGCGUGAAGCUGCAGAUCAAGAGGAUCGAGAACAACACGAACCGGCAGGUGACCUUCUCGAAGCGGCGGAAUGGCCUCAUCAAGAAGGCCUACGAGCUCUCCGUCCUCUGCGACAUCGACAUCGCGCUCAUCAUGUUCUCCCCCUCCAAUCGCCUCAGCCAUUUCUCCGGCAGGCGCAGGUCCGUCCGCUUCCGUCCGUUCAUUCUCUUUUAAUUACCUGCUCCGGCCGAAUUCGAUCGGUGUCAUGUAUGUAUGCAUGUGUGUACCUGUCGACGGACGAUUUCAGGCAAAAUUUAAUCACAUUUACUGUUAAAUUUUACUGAAAUGUAUAUAUAGGAUCGAGGACGUGAUCACGAGGUACAUCAAUCUCCCGGAGCACGACAGGGGAGGGUACGUUCAAUUCGUUCGCGCGGGUGCCAAUUGCAUGCGGCCCUUUUCUCUUUCUUAUUAGUAUUGCGAGAAGAACCUUUCUCUCGUUUUCUUAAUUAAGGCAAAUAAACACAGGUUUGUUAUGACUAGUUUAUUCUCUGACUGAUUAUUGCUGUGAUGCAGAGUCGUUCGGAAUAGAGAGGUGACGUAUCAGAUACUGUAUUUGGAUAUCCAAAAAAAUUCAACAUUAACCUUAAUUUGCUCGUUAACUGAUUUUUUAUCAUCUUAAACAUGUAUGUAUCCAAAUACAGUAUCUGAUCAAGAUGCUUACACAACUCAAAUGCGAGGGUGACAUAGCCGAACAACUUGCACCCAAGUAUAUCACUCACUCCUCCUCUCUCUCUCAAUUAAUCUUUCCAGUUUUGGUUUUCAAAUGGAUAUUAACUAUGCUGAUUAUCUUUCUUUAUUAUAUUUACUUCAUAUUAUUUUUGAAUCUCCUUUUCUCACUGACGAUGCUUGUUGUUUCUCUCUGAUGCAUCCUUUUAUUUGAUGAAUACCUUGAUGAAACAGUAAAGGGCCAGUAAACUCCAAUGUAGAGGUAAUAACCUACCUCUUCAUGCGACUCACACACCAUCCUCGGACAAAAGACACUAACAUGAUUUUUACUCAAAACAUGCAUAUUUCUGAUUAUUUGUUUUUUUUUAUGUGUGUAAUCUUACACGUACAGGAGCUUCAGCAGGAGAUCAGGACAUACCAACACCAGCUGCAAGUCUUGGAGGAGCAACUUAGGUUCUACACAAACUCCCCUACAAUGCAUGCAUUUUACACGCUUAAAGGUGCAGACCUUUUGGUUCAAAAGAAAAAAGAUGCAGCACCACGCAAACCGUGAUGAAACCAUCCGCGCCUGUAACUGACAGCGUUGACUUAACUGAUAGCUGAUAAAUAGUUAGUUUCCUAAAACUAUCUAGAGCCUAUUUGGAUACAUGGGCUAAUAGAUGGUAGAAUUGGGUUUUCAUGUUAAGGUUGGAGGACACACAACUGCAUAGUGUUAUAACUGUUAGUGCCAACUAUCCAAAAUAUCACAUACAAAGUACUCUUUCCAUUCUAGAAACUUGAUGUUUUAGGCUUUAAAUUUUGUCAAAAAAAAACUUCAUGUUUUAGCUAUUGGAACUAGUUUGGGCCCUUACAAACUUGAGAUUAUGGUCUACAUGCAUCUAUACAUUCCUUUUAAUUAGCAUGGUUCACCUUCAAUAGAUAGGGCUACAACUACAAGGGUAAUCUAGAUUCAGCAUUAAUCUAUCUAAAAAAAAUCCUAAAACAUCACGUUUUUUUAGGGACAUUAUUUUCACUAUAAAAAAUAUACUUGUCUAUUUUCUACCAUUAUAAGUAUUAGCGCUAGAACUGAGUAGUAUCUUUUCCUUUUUUUGCGAGAAGUAUCCUUUCCUUUGUCAUGAAGAUAAUUUGAGAAUCGCCUUAAAGCUUCUAAUAUGACUUCCUAUUUUUAAUAUGCCCCAAUCUACUUGAAUCCAUGACAUUGGGCUUUAGGAUGUUUGAGCCGGAUCCGGUGGCAUUGGCAUCGAUGCAUGAGGUUGAGACGUGCGAGAAAUUCCUCAUGGACACCCUCACCCGCGUCGAGGAGCGAAAGGUUAGUUAGUUGUUUGGAUUUACCUCUCGAACUUAAAACUAGAAAUGUGCAGCCCUCUAACUAUUAAAAUCUGACAACUUUAGCUCUUGGCUAGUUUCAAAGUGGUUUCGAGUAUAUAUGUAUUUUAUAAAAAUAAUAAAAUAAUAAAUAAAUUUGUUAUGAAAGUCAUAAAUAAUCAUUUAUAAAUAAAAAAGUAUGAAAUUGUUACCGAAAUUUUUCUAAAAUAUAAUGUAUCUUUUUAAAAAGGUCAUGAAUUUUUAGAAAUUUAACUAUUAUCUUAUUCAAAUAUAAUCUAUCCUUUUGAAGUUUUCAUUUGACAUUCAUUUUUUUUGAAUUGUUCAAAUCAACUUCAAUGGAUAAAUGACUAAAACUAAAGUUGUAGAUCUUAGCUAACGAAUGUUUCAUUUGAAAUCUUUACGGUCCUAAAGUUCUGUUUGGAGUUCUCAUAUUUUGUUAAAUUUUUUAAAUUAUUCAAACAAAAUCGAGUGAAGAAAUUACCAAAACCAAGAGCUACAACUUUGUAGAUGACUUUUGUUUCACUUGAAAUCUUAUACACGGUCCAAAAAUUUUAUUUGAAGUUCUUAUAUUUUGUAAUUCAAAUUUCUGAAUUGUUUGAACGAACUUGGAUGAAGAAAUGAUCCCAAACUAGAAUUGUAGAUCUCGAUGGGAUAGAUUAUAUUUUAAGAAAAAUUUUGGUACCAGUUUCAUAUUUUUUCCGAUUUAAAAAGAAUUAUGUAUGAAUUUGAGUGAUUUACCUAUUGUUUUUAGAAAAUACAUAUAUACUCAAAACCAAUUUUAAACUAGCCAAAGGCCAAAGUUGUCCGCUAUUCAUAGUUGGAGAGCUAUUCAUGCCCGGUUUUCGCCUUUGAGGGACUUCUACAAAAGUUCGGAGCCUAAACAUAGUUUUUCCCUAUAUUAUUACUAAACCAAGGUCAAUUUUGUUUUUCUCUUUUAAUGAUGACAAAUCUCAUGUUAAUUUUGGAUCAUUCUCACAACCGUGCUAUAUUAUUAACCGCCUUGCAUUGCAUGCGUGCAUUCACUGCAGAAAUAUUUGCUGUGCAACCACAUGGGCCCGUUCGAGCCGUCGCCCUCCGACAUGCACCACGUACGUGACCGAGUCUGAUGAUCACAUUCACACAUCCUCUUUCAUUCAUAAUCAUGGAUUGAGCAUUUGAGCACGUAAUUACUGCUGCUGAUUCGGUUCAGCGAGUAACAGUAAUUAGUGGAGUAUACGUAAUUAAUAACAUGGAGAAUGAUCUACCCUACCCAUGCAUGGGUGCAGGUGUUCGGCCUGCCGCCGCCGCCGCAGCCACCGGCGCAGCAGCAGCAGCACGAAGAGGAGCCGCAAGGGGACCUGGGCGUCAACGCGUUCGCCGGCGACGUGUCCUCGUGGUUCGCCGACGGGCUGCCGACGUCGUCGAUCUUCGCGGGGCCAGACCCCAUCUUGUCCUUCAGGUAGUCCAAAUUCCAUCAGAUGAGCCACAUACAUCCUUCAUUUUUUUUUGAACUCCACAUAUACAUAUUUCUUUCCAGGUUUUUUCAAAAAAUUUCAAGAUUUCUCGUCACAUCAAAUCUUUAGACGCAUACAUUGAGCAUUAGAUAUAAACAAAAAAAAAUAACUAAUUGUAAAGUUACCUAUAAUAUGUGGACGAAUCUUUUGAACCUAAUUAAUCCAUGAUUGAACAACAAUUGACAAAUACAAACGAAAGUGUAGUCAAAGCCAAAAAAUUUUUGCGAACUAAACAAGACGCCAAGCUCACGUAUUAUCUUUGUUCCAACAGGGAUCAGGUGAUCUUCGACUCGAUGAGGCGGGACCCAGUCGUGGGGGGAGUGGACCCAGGAAUAGCCUCGAUGUGCCACGUGGACCAGCAGGCCCCUAGCGAUGACUGGCAGCAAGCGUACACGUCAGCGGAGCUCCUCUCCGCGCUCAUCCCGUCCACGCCUUUCCCCCUUGACGACCAGGUGACAUGGCACGGAUCAGGACCGUCCAGUUCGACGACCGCUUCCGAUUGCUUUCACAUGAGUUGGCUAGAUACUAUGUGAUCUAGAUGCAGGACGCCAUGGCGCCAGUGCUCACGUCUCCAAUGGCGGUGCCGCCGCACAUGCACGAGCAAGUGGUGGAGGCGCCGGGGAACUGCUCCAACGUCAACGUGCCGGUGGACGGGGACUGCGCCGCCACCGCCACCCCUGCCGCUGCCCCUGUCGCUCCUCAGGAGCACGGCCUGCCCGGCGCGGUCAACAUCGGCUAGCUGCAUCUCCAUGUCCGUCCGGCUCUUUCGCUUGGUCACUUCUUCACCAAGCAUGGCAGGCAAGGAUGCAGCCACGAUGUGCUCUAGUUUCACAUUGACAAGAUUUUUUAUUUAUCUUUCAUUACAAUUUGGUAAAUUCCAACAAUGUAAUCUCCCACAAACUACCAUUACCAACAGUUUUUAGUUAGUGAAAACCAACAAACAAAUUGGUAGCCACUUAUAAAUAAAAAGAAGCCAUUGGAAAUAAAGUUAGUAUUAUAGUUGUGCAUAACUCAUUUUCAAUAUUUGGUGUUGGAUCCUUUUGUGUGGAGUUUUCAUAAAGAUGACACUUUAUCAUAGUCAAGUCAAUGUAUAAGCAUCUUGUCAACAACAGAGUCAAGAUUACACAUGAAAUUUUGCAUAUGGAAUUACCACUCAAAAUGAAAAAAAAGACGUGGCAUUUUAAAAGAGGGAUCAUCCUUACUAAGGAUAAUUUAGUUAGGAGAAAUUUAAAUGGUUCAUUUUGUAGUAAAUUAGAAACUAUCCAACAUUCUUUGAAUGUCAUUAUGCGAAGUCCCUAUUGUCUGUCAUACACUUGGUGUUAGUGUUCAACUCCUACAAAAUUAAGUUUGUUUGUUUAAUUAUAAGACUAAAUAAGGAGUUCGUAUAAUAGAUCUUUUUUAUUGAUGGGAAGUGUAGAGUUUUGUUGGGCGAUUUGACUCAUAAGGAACGAAUUCGUGUUCAAUAAUGGGCAAACACAAAAAAUAUAGUACUAUUAUUUUUUUUAGAAUUACAUAGUACAACGUGAUUUUAGUGUUAGGCUCUGUUCCAAUAUAUUGAAGAAAGGAUGAAAGGUUAAGGUGUGCCAGGUACUAGGCUUAAGAGUUAUGCAGUUCCUAGUGUCCCAUGGAUGGCAUUUUAGGUUUUAUAAGAAAAGGUAUCAAUUAGCUAGCGAAAUGGGGGAUCUUUCUUUUUAGCACAUCUCAUGACUCAUGAGGAUUAAUGUGGAGGUUCUUUGGCAUCAGUAAAUGAUAGGCUUUGUAUCAGAUGAAUAACAAGUGCUAAGUGCUAACCUAUAUUUAAGUGCACGAAACUCGCUAGCUCGCUCGACUCGCUCGUUAAUGGCUCGGCUCGAGCUCGACUCAUUUUAUAACAAGCCAGCUCGUUCUGAAACAAGCCAGCUCGAUUUAUAACGAGCCAGCUCGAGCCAGCUCGCGAGCUGUUUGUUAGCUCGAACGAGCCAGCGAUUUCACAAGCCAAGCACCUGUAUUUAGCUCGCCCAUAUAUCUCUUGAUGUCUCAUUUACCUUGGCCCAGCCCAAACUUAAAACCCUAAAUAUAUAUAACACACACACAGAUAUCCUCGGCACCAGGAGCCGCCGCAUGAACAGGAGCCAAGCCCCACACGGCCACACCACAUGUACUCUUUUCCUCUUCCAUCUCAUGAUACAGGAUAGGAGCCGCCGCCGGCCGCCUGCUGCCGUUCGUCGCCCCAGGCCCGCCGCGAGUAGCACGUCGCGCAUCGCUGGCCCUCGCAGCAGCCCGCAAGUAAGCAUGCGGCAUGCCACUCCUUUGGUCUCCCAUCUCCUCAAGCUGCUUGCUGCAGGCUGCACGCAAGCACGCUCAUUUAGCCUUCCAUCUCGAGCAGGUGAUGGAAGAUGAGGAAGAAUCCCCUAGGACGCUUCCUCCGGUGCUUCAAGUGUUGAAUCGAGGAUGAACCGCAAGAAGAUGCCCGCUUCGACAGGCAAUCGCGGUGGUCGCGGCUGAGGUCGAGGAUUUGUACCCGCGAAGUCCACUGCUCCAUCGACCUCCAUAUCAACAGACACAAACACAAAUAUGGUAUGUAUUUUUUUUGUUGAUGCUCUGAUCUGUAGGAUGCAACUUACAAUUUGUGUGAUUUAUGUGAAUAUGUACAGGAAUAGGCAAGGUGUUAAUUUAUUUGUAUUUAUUCAUGUAAAUAUACGAGUUAGUGGUCUGUAAAUUGUAUUUAUUUUGUUGAUGCUUUGCUCUGUAGGAUGCAACUUACAAUUUGUGUGAUUUAUGUGAAUAUGUAAAGAAAUAUGCAAGGUGUUAAUUUAUUUAUAUUUAUUCAUGUAAAUAUAUGAGUUAGUGGUCAUGUAAAUAUAUUUAUUUAUAUUUAUGUCAGUGAACAUAUGAGUUAGUGCAAUUCUAUAGCUUAGUUGAUUUUUGACUACCUAUUCUAUGUGACUGUGUAGCAUUUGGAGCCUUUGGCGGAGGUUGAAGACCAUAACGAGGACUUUGAUAUGAAUGCUGAAAUAUCAGUUAGUGUGCCAACAAAUGAUGAUCGAGUUACGAAGGAGGUUGGAGAUGAUGUAAGUGUGCCUUCAAGUCCUUCGAAAGCAACUAGAGGGCGGAAAGGAAAGAGGUCUGGUGUGCAUUUAUCCCCUUCUAAGGUCAAGGUAAAGAGAGGAAAGAGGGCUGGUUGUUGGAAGUAUUUCAAAGAGAUAAAUGUUCAAUCUAAUAAGGAGUUUGGUGUUAUGGUGACAAAGGUUAAGUGUAGAUUUUGCCAUAAGAGUUAUGCAUACCAACAAGGUGGAGCAACUUCACAGCUGAAUCAUCACCUUAGCCGCUGCACACAGUUUCAGAACAAGCUUGCUAAGGCUAAACGAAUACUUGCUCAAGGUACACUCAACUAUGUUGCAGAUGAUGGUUGUCUUGUUAUUAAUCCUACCGAAUAUGACCAUGAGCACACCAAAAAAUUGAUUGCAAAGAUGAUAAUUGUCCAUGAGUAUUCUUUUAGGAUGGUUGAGCAUAAAUGGUUUAAUAUCUUGAUGAAGUGGAUGAAUAGCAACUAUGAAUCUAUUGGUAGGAAGACUAUAAAAAAUGAAUGCAUGAAAGUUUAUGAAUCUGAGAAAGAGUUGCUAAAGAAAAAUCUUAGGCAAGCUGAAUCAAUUAGUUUGACUACUGAUUUGUGGACAUCAAAUCAAAAUGUUCAGUACAUGUGUUUGGUGGCACAUUACAUAGAUAGUGGGUUUUGCAAUGUCGUGUUCUUAACUUUGUUGAGUUAGAUCCUCCCCACACUGGUUUGGUGAUAGCUCAUGCUGUUUUUGAGUGUUUGGUGGAAUAGAAAAUAGAAGAUAAGGUUAUGUCAAUCACCCUUGAUAAUGCUUCAAAUAAUGAUGUUGCUACUACAAAUUUGUCAGCCAAGCUGCUUGCUAGAAAGAAUGGUCAGUUUGAUCCCAAAUAUUUUCAUGUUUGUUGUGUUGCUCGCAUAGUUAAUUUGGUUGUUAAUGAUGGUCUAGAACCAAUAGAAGGUCUCAUAAGUGAUCUAAGGAAUACUGUGAAAUAUUUUAAGAGGUCUCCAAGUCGCCUGUACAAAUUUGUAGAGGUAUGCAAUGAUUAUGCUAUUCAAGUUGGGAAAUGUUUGUCUCUUGAUGUCAAAACAAGGUGGAACUCAACAUAUAAAAUGCUUAACACUUGCAUUGAGUAUAGGUCUGCAUUUGGUUAUUAUGCUGAAGUGGACCAGAACUAUGCAUGGAAACCUACAGAUUCUGAAUGGGACAUGUAUGAGAAGAUUAGGCCAAUUCUAGGAGAGAUGGCUGGAGCAACUACUGCAUUUUCAGGUUCAGUUUAUCCUACUGCUAAUGUCUUCUACCCUUACAUUUUGAAAGUCAAGCUUGCAUUGUUGAAGGCAAAAAAUGAGGAGGACCCAUAUUUGAAGAACAUGGGUGCUGCAAUGUUAGACAAAUUUAAUAAAUAUUGGGAAGAGAAGAACAAUGUAAUGGUUAUUGCUACAAUCCUUGACCCUAGGUUCAAAAUGAGAUAUAUUGAGUUCUAUUUUAGGAAGCUUUAUGGCUCCUCAAGGUGUGAACAAGAGGUUGCUGAUAUAAAAAAAGAGUUAGAAGAGUUGUACAAGAAGCAUGAGUUAGAGCAACGCCGGAAAAUGGGUGGCAGUAGCAGUUCAUCAACCACUCAAUCAGCCUCAUCAUCAAAGGAAACAACCAGCUCAGUGGCUUGUCUUGUCUCAAGUGAAUUUGAGUCAUUUCUAGAGCCUAGUGCUUCAGAAACUUCAAAAUCUGAGUUACUUAUCUACCUAGAUGAAGCGAACCACCCAUUACAAGAUAAGAAUUUCAACUUACUUCACUAUUGGAAGGUGAAUGCUCUUAGAUUUCCCAUUGUGUCUAGUUUGGCAAAGAAGUUCUUAGUUGUCCCAGCUAGCAGCGUAUCAUCUGAGUCCACUUUCAGUUGUGGAGGUAGAGUUCUUGAUGACUAUAGGAGUUCUUUAAAGCCAGCUACAGUUCAAGCACUAGUUUGUGCAUCUAGUUGGAUACGAGGUUCUAAAAGUCCUCAUAUUAUUCUGGUAUGUGAUGUUUAGUCUACUUUUCCAAAAUUUGUGUAAUAUAAAUGCAUAAUGCUUAAUUCUGUUAAUGUUUUUACAGGGAGAAGAUGCUGAUGAUGGUGACAUUGAGAGUGUGGAGCUUUCCAGCAGUGUGGUAAAAAGCAACUAGUAAGUUUAUUUUAGAAUGUACAACAGUGUGGUGAAUUGUAGAGAUCAUAUUUGUAUAUUUGUUCUCACUUCAUGUGGAUUUCACAUACAGGUAACAAGAUAUAAAGUGGGAAGAGAACUGAGACCUGUUGGUUGUGCUUGUGCGCCAUGACUGCUUCUGAGUUCUGACAGCUUACCUACAAACCUGAUUAGUGAUCAGUCUACUUUUCGAGCCGUAGCUUAUUUAUUUUGCUUCUUUUGUGAAUGCUUGGAUGAUGGCUAAACUGUGAUGGGUCGCCUUUAAACUUUGACGUAUUGUGGAUCAAUCGAUGGAAUGAAUAAAUUCUCUUUUGUUAAAUUUAUAUGUACUUUGUGCUUGUUGGCUUGUUGUUCACUUGCAUUUAUUUGUAAUGUGUUUUUACAUUUUGGCUCGCGAGCCAAAACGAGCUGCUCGAGCUAUUUAGCGAGUCGAGCCGAGCUGAUCUUCUAGCUCGUUAGUGUAACAAGCCGAGUCGAUCGAGCCAGAGUGCUAACGAGUUGAGCUAUAAUGAGCCGAGCUGUAACGAGCUGAGCUGGCUCGAUAUCCAGGCCUACUCAUGAGGAUUAAUGUGGAGGUUCUUUGGCAUCAGUAAAUGAUAGGCUUUGUAUCAGAUGAAUAACAAGUGCUAAGUGCUAACCCAUAUUUACGUGCACCAAUCAUGUUUUCAAUCAGUUGUAAGACUUAUGGACAUCUUGUAGUUACUCAUAAAGGUAAGUCUUAGCGAGAGCUUUAUCAAAGUCGUUUGGAUAAGGUUUGAUGAAACAUUAGAAAUAAUAAAUCAUUAAUAAUUUUUAAAUUAUUGAAUUUGCAAAUAUAAAAUUAUAUAAAUAGAUUUAUCUUUAAAAAUACUUUUAUAAAAAUAUACAUAUAUCAAUUUUUUUAUAAAUAUAUUUAUAAAAAUAAAAUAUCAGAGUUGUGAGAUCAUAAACGACUUGUAAAUCUUAUAUAGAGGAAGUAUAUGGCAAUUCUAAAACGGAUGUCUUCCCCAUCCAACAUCCAUGGCAGAGCAGCAAUGAAGGCGAUAAUAAAUACGGAAGUUGCGGUCAAUAAGGUAGGGAUCAUCAAAAUUCAAAACACCGAACCGUCCAAUGUAAAGACGGUUUUCGGUGCUAGUUAUCCAGUUGCAGAAGCGACCCCACAGGCUUGUACUUUCGCGUCUCUCUAAAGUUGCAGUCAUGGUAAUAUCUUGGUUUAUUCAAAUUGCAAGGGCUCUCAAGCACACGUAUUAACUAGAAAGAAAAUAGAUAAUAGAAGGCUUGUUAUUUAACAGUAUAACAUACUCGUCACACAGACACUGUGGCUGUGCACUGCACAACCCGGGCCGGGGACAAAGCUCCCGCGAGUCCUGAGGGUGCACGUACGCCCAGGACCAGGACGAAAGCCAUGGAUCACCAAAUGGCUGCGCUGCGCUCCACCACGCGAGCUGAUCUGAUGCUAGCUGGUGGGGUGAUGGCUAUUUCCGAAGUAAAGCUACUCUUAAGCUAGCUAAUCAUAUGAUUCCCAUCAAAGUGAGUGCCGGUAAGCAGUCGGUCGCAGUAAUCUACUACCCCUAAUAAUCGAGUUCCGAAUUGCGAGGUUCAUUUCAUAUAUAUAUGUAGGGCGUCAUGCCACACGCAGACACAGCCUUUGUGGCGAGAUCGAUUGCGUCGUCCACCCAAUAAGAGAUAUAUUGUGCAACUAAACACACGUUUCUAGCCUGGAUUGGCCCCUAGCUAGCUCCCGUGGCGUUAGAGUUAAAUUUGUCCCGGCAAGAGGGAGCACCGUGUCAACUAACCUGCUGUAACCUGCUGUUGGGGGUUGUGCUUCGGCUUCCUAUGCCCACACCUUUUGUACUUUUAUCUCUAGCUGCUGAGACUGCAUGAGCGCGAGACAGUAGGAGUAAGUAUAAUGUGAUUAGAAAUAUGUGAGGGAAAAGGUGCACGAAUCUUGUGUAUUGUUCGUGCGAAAAAGGCAAAUCUAGUGGGACUAGGAGCAAGCUGAUUGAUGCGGUUAAUUAGUAAUUAACAAUCUCUCGGUGGAUAUCAGCUUUGCCUUGUGCUUUAGUAUUAUUAUUAGGGCUCGCAGUGUGCUUAACCAAAGAGAUGUAUACUUACUUACUUACACACAACAGUGCAGCGGUUUCGUGAAUUUGACGUUGUUCUCGAGUGAGCGGUCCCAUAUCAAGAGGUUUCAUGUGUGUGCAGGGCUUGAUUGGUUUACGAGCAAAAUUUGUUAAAGAUUUGGCAAGCUAAAGUUAAGGCCUUGUUUACUUCCACUCUAAACCCAAAAUUUUUCAAGAUUCUCCGUCACAUCGAAUCUUUAGACGUAUGCAUAGAGUAUUAAAUAUAGACAAAAAUAAAAACUAAUUGCACAGUUUGGUCGAAAUUUACGAGACGAAUCUUUUAAGUCUAGUUAGUCCAUAGUUGGACAAUAAUUACCACAAACAAACGAAAGUGCUAGUGUCACGAAAUUUUUUCCUACCGGAACUAAACAUGGCCUAAGUAGAAAAAAUUGUCAUGAAUUUGGCAAGCUAAAUAUGAGAGAUUAGCAAGUUUUAGUAGCCAACCAAACAAUAGUCAAACCAAGGAUGAAGACGUGGUGAGAGCGACGCCAAUUUUGGAAGACCUUACCUUGGUGCAGUUGCAUGAGCAUACAGAAAAUCAUGUUUAAUACUUACAACUAACAAAAUUUACUUAUCUCCUCUCCCUCUCAAUUCAUACACUCUGUAAUCUCUAUCUAGUUAAUAAAAUCAUCGACUUCUCCUACGUAUGUAUACUUUUUCAUCAAUACCACCCAUAUCUAAUCCAUUUCAUGACACCUCUUUAUACUGUUGUCUUUAAUGUAUAUUUAGUUGAAACCUUAGCAUAAGUCUCGAUGGCUCUCCUAUUACAGCAAGAGUCGACCAUGGCGUUUGGGCUUUGAGGUGAGAUGCAUGUAAGAGGAUCGAGUGUUGCUAACCUUAAGAAGAUAGGCUCUACCAGCCAGCGUUAUUUUUCUCACCCAAUAAAUCUAACAGACAUUACUUUAACGCUCAUAGUACUAUACAAUCGUCAGGCCAUACGACUCAAUUGAUGUCUAACCUCAAACUUUACACCAUCGAUAUAUUACACCCGUGGUGCAGGCUUAAAUCGAUUAUUUAUUUACAUAAACUUGUCGCGUUGCCAUUUGUCGUCACACUUUCGCUACAUCACGAUGUGUACGCGAACAAUUUUAAAACCAAACGGAACGGCCAUGGCUUCCCCCAUCCACGGCAGGGUACCGGCCGGGCCGUCGGGAGGUGCAUGCGGAACCCCGGGGGACAGACAGAGACAGGGGUCCUCCACUACUCAGAAGCCACCAGAGCACCUGCAGACACCCCCACCACCACGAGCUGCCGAUCGAUGCAGCCGGCGAUGGAUGAUGAUGAUGCAGAGUAAAGCUACACGCUUAAGCUAAUCUCAUCUCAUGCAUGAUUCCCCAUCAAAAGCGAGUGCUGCUACCCAGACCUGGCCUGCUAAUGACGUACUAGCAUCUGCUGCGUCUCUGUUCAUGCACGAGAGGGAUUUCACCAUCGUCUGAUGUGUGGUGGGUGUCGGGCGACUGUGACCGGAUCCAUAGAGAGACGGUGCAGUGCAAUCACACGUUUCGAGCUCGGAUUGGCGUCUCCGGCCGGGCCCGUGGCGUGAAGGGGAAUUUGUCCCUGCAAUUAUAUUGGGGAGCAUCAACGACGGACGCAGCAAAGUGCAUUGCUGGGUUUCGACGGCUUUGGUGUGCCUUCACUCCAUUGGUGAGCUGCGAACUAUCGCUAGCUUGCAGGCAUGAUCAGAGAAAAAUGCAUUCAGGGGGGAAAGUCCACAAGUCUCGUGUGUUCUUCGUGCUGUAAAAAGGCAAAUCUAGCGGUAGUGGGUUUCAUAUAUAAGAGCAACUAAAUAGGAGACGAGUGGCGUUUUAUUAUGUUCCCUAUAUAGAUUAAAGGAGUAUUCGGUUAGGGUGUUUAAGUUUAAUAGGUACUGUAAUAUUUUUGUUUUAUUUAAUAAUUAGUGUUUAGUCAUGGACUAAUUAGACUUAAAAUAUUCGUCUCGCAAAUUAUUGUCUAGCUAUGUUUUAAAUUUUAUAAAUAAUUUAUAUUUAAUACUUUAUAUAUGUAUCCAAAUAUUUGAUAUGAUAGACGAUAAAGUUUAACAGGUCCAACCAAACAGGGUCUAACUUUUGCGAGGAAAAGGAUGUAGAUAUUUUAAAACUAAAGUGGUGUGGUUAGCAAUUGCUCGGUGCAGACUAGCUUGUAACGCAUAAUGCUGAUGUCUUCAUAGUAGCCCAUUUUCCUUUUAGCAUUAUUAGCAGUUUUUUCUACUAGUUACUACCUUGAUCCCUUAGUCCGGGAAUAAAUUAAUUAAUUUUUUAAAAUUAUUUUAAGGUAGAUAUUUUUUUAAGUUUAACUGAAUUUAGAGUGUCAAGAUUUAUGAGACCACAUUAGUAUCAUCAGAUACGCUAUAAAAUAUAUUUUUGACAAUAUGAUGAAUUGUUGCUAUAAUUUUUUAUCUAUAAAUUCGAUUAAAUAUAAAAAGGUUUGAUUGAAGACACCAAUAAAAUUUGAUUUACUUAGGGACUAGAUAGUAUAAGCCAAAUGUCCACUUUUGUUAGUAGCCUAGCUUUUUUUAAGUACACCAAAUUGCCCGGUGAAUGCAACUCAAUAGUUUUGAUGUUUGCACUAUAUUACUCAUUCACUUCCAAAUUAUAAGUCACUUUAAUUUUCUUGGUAUAUCUAUGCAUCUGGAUUAUAUAUAUAUAUAUAUAUAUAUAUAUAUAUAUAUAUAUAUAUAUUACAUCCUAGGUGUAGAAUAUUAUUCUACACCGCAAGUCAAAACUGAGCUGAAAAAAUACUGAGCAGUACUGAACAAUGUUCAGUAUUAUUUACUCGUACACCCAAGACCACGAAAUACUGAACAAUACUGAAACACGGGUCUGAAUUCUCUUCAGUAUUGCAUUUUGGUGUAGAAUAGUAUUCUACACCUAUGGUGUAGAAUAGCACUUGUGUGUGUGUGUGUAUAUAUAUAUAUAUACAAGUGCUAUUCUACACCCUAGGUGUAGAAUACUAUAUAUAUAUAUAUAUAUAUAUUAAUAUACUCUAGAGUAGAAUAGUAUUCUACACCUAGGGUGUAGAAUAGCACUUGUGUGUGUGUAUAUAUAUAUAUAUAUAUAUUCUUGCGGUGUAUAUAUAUAUAUAUAUAUAUAUAUAUAUAUAUAUAUAUAUAUACAUACAAGUGCUAUAUAUAUAGGACACGUUUUUUUACACGCGCGUGUAGUUACUCUCAUCUAUAUAUCUCUAGAUUUAAGGUGUAUAUGACCGAACGAAAUGUAUAUAGACAAAAUGUAUGAUCAUACUAGACCAUCUAGAGUGAUAUGUAUGUUAAGUAUGUAUGCAUACAUAGAGUAUAUGGUUAUACUUAUUGUAUAUAAUAUAGUAGUGGCAUUUUAGUAAUAUAUUUAAAAUAUAAUUUUUUUGAAAAAAUUUCGCGUGGUAAGAUCUAGAGUAUAUUAAUAUGAGUAUAUAAACAUACUCAAACCGAUAAACAAGUAUGAAUACAUACACAAUGUAGUUUAUCAAAGAUGAGAGUAACUACACGUACGUGUACAAAGAAAUUUCCAUAUAUAUAUAUAUAUAUAUAUAUAUAUAAGUGUUAUUCUACAUUCUAGAUGUAGAAUACUAUUCUACACCAAAGUGUUAUACGGAACAAAAUUCAAUAUUGUUCGUACUCGUGUUUCAGUAUUAUUCAGUAUUUCGCGAUCCUGGGUGUACGACUGGAUGAUACUGAACAUUGUUCAGUAUUGCUCAGUAUUUUUUCUGCUCAGUUUUGACUUGCGGUAUAGAAUAAUAUUCUACACCAUAGCGUGUACAAUAGCUUUUACAGGUGAUUCAGUCAAUAAUCAAUUAGACGUCAUUCUCAAGUGAGAGGUCCCAUCAUCGAUCCAUGACCUCUCCAUUAGUGUAAAGCAAUCAUUAUAUAUACGCUUCUCAAUAUAUAGUGAGAGAAUAUGGGUUGAAUGGUACCCAAACUUAGAGGGGUUUAGUUUCUAAAAAAUUUAAGAUUUUUCGUCACAUCGAAUCUUUAGACAUAUGCAAGCAACAUUAAAUAUAGAUAAAAAUAAAAACUAAUUGUAUCUGUAAUUUGCGAGACGAAUCUUUUGAGCAUAGUUAAUCCAUAAUUAGAUAAUAAUUGUCAAAUAUAAACGAAGAUGCUAUAAUAGCCAAAGCCAAAAAAAUUCCACGAACUAAACCAUGCCUUAGGAUCUAGGAGAGGGGGUGUGCGAGCGAGACAAGAUUUCGUAAUAAGAUCUCGAUGCCACUCCAUGCAUCUGAUGUGCUGAGCAAUUAGGUUGAUCUUAAGAUUCUGUAAGCCCAUUUCUCAAAUACGUUUAUAGGCCUUGUUUAGUUCCCAAAAAAUUUUGCAAAAUUUUUUAGAUUUCCCGUCACAUCGAAUCUUUAGACGCAUGCAUGGAGUAUUAAAUAUAGAUGAAAAUAAAAUCUAAUUGCACAGUUUGGUCGAAAUUGACGAGACGAAUCUUUUGAGCCUAGUUAGUCCUUGAUUGGACAAUUUUUGUCAAAUAUAAACGAAAGUGCUACGGUGUCGAUUUUGCAAAAUUUUUUGAAACUAAACAAGGCCUAUAUUUCACAAAGAAUUCAGAUACGUUUAUAUGUGACUUGUUCUGGGAAAGAGAAAUCUAUGUGCAUCCAUCUUGUUUGUUCCCUGUACGGGUACUUGUCUCCCUGUACCAUGUACGAGUCGCAACUUGUUUGUUCCCUUUUAUAGCUUUAGGCUGUGUGGCCGGUCACGUCCCAUGCCACGGCUCGCCUGUCUUGACAGGCCAUGUGAUCCAGCUGCUCUGCUCUGCUCUGCUCGGCACGCGCCGCGGCCACUGCACCGGCCCCGUACCCGUACCCGUACCCGCGCCCGACCAAAAGCGACCGGGCGGCCGGCCGCUGCCGCUGCCGCUCACGGGUGCGCGGCGCGGCCCCGGCCCGGCUGGACGCCCCGUGCUCCGUCACAUCGUCCGGGGUUGGGCCGCGCGUCCACGUCCGUCCUCCGUCGCACUCGCGCCGGCCGUCCGGUGUCCCCGCCUCGCCGAGGCGCCGCCGGCCGGCCGAACGGGAUUCGAUCGCCCAACGGCGCGGCAGCAGAUUCCAUUCUCGGCUUCUCCGCACAGGGCACAGCUCCUCCUGAUUCUCUGUUUCCUUUUGUUUUCCUCCUCUCUCUCUCUCUCUCUCUCUCUCACACACACACACUCCCUAGUAGUCUACGUAUAUCGGAUUCUAAUUCUCGGCGAAUCGGACGGACGGACACGUGUUGCUUGCUCACUUGCUGUGAGGUUUCAUUCUUGUGUUCACACGUCCCUCUCUCCAUGGUGAAAAGAAAAAAAAAAUCUAAGGAUGCGCAGGAGCUUUACGACGCUAGUACUAGAUUCUAAUCCUGGCUCCAUCACAGCUUCACAAAAAGACGUGUGCGAUGCGUGAAGCCAGAUUCAUCAAUGUGUCACACACAUACACACACCUGGUUCCAUCCAAGCCUUGUAGCUGUACAGUACUAGAGUUCCUCCUCCAGCUCUAUUAUUUGCGAGACAACGAUACUUUUUUUUGGGAAAAAAAAACAAUUGUUAUUAGUAUAUCAUCAUGCUUGUCCACUUGUCGCUUCUUCUCUGCUCUCGUCAAAAGACUAGAUCGUCAUGAGAUCUCUCAGGUAUAGUCGCCAUCACCUUAGGAGGAUUCUCCUUCGGACAGCAUUUUGUUUUAAGAAUAGAGUUAUUAUGAGUCGAAUUAAUUUGGUUUUAAGUCAAGUGGCUGUCAGUGAACCGAAACUGCAACGAGCUCAUCCUGAGCAGCUGGGCUCUUGUCAAUGUCAACUAGUACAGCCAGAUUUAGCAGGCCAGACGGGGCACGGCACAAGCCCAGAAUAAUGCAGGAUUAUAUUAUCGUUAAUCUAGCUGUGAGAUUCUCCCAUAGGUUGCUUCAUGCCCAGAUCUUGAAUUCUUGAUCCAACAAGGAAUGGCCUGGCCACCUAAUUUAAUUUGGCAGCACACGUGUUCCCAAGACAAGGUUAGUACAAACAAAAUAAGCACGGCCCACAUGUCACUGUCCGAAUCCUAUAAAUUUGUUUUAAUGUAGUACAAGAUUACUUGGUUACUUAAGAUUGUUCAACUUAGCUUCCCAUGGGAUUUGCCGAAGUCCUGUAAUGAGACAAAAACUGCUCUUAUAUAUAGGGUAAAUCUUUUUUUCAAGCUCAGUGUUCCUAAAACAAAAACUUCCACGAAAAUAUUUAAAAAAAAAUCAUUCAAGAGAGAAUGAUUCGGCAACAGUAUGAAGAACUUAUGUUCUUCCUUUAGGAAAAACAAAAACAUAAACAGGUCCAGAUCCUAACUCCCUACUUUGCACCAGGAUUUAACACAGCCCCUUGUGCUCAAGACAAACACCCCCACAGGCACAGAUGCAUUGCAAAACUUAAGCAUGCUCCCCAGUUUCAAUCUCUACAUCCUUCCCUUCCCUUCCCUUCCCUACCCACCAAUAUACACACAGUGACUCCAGAAAAAUAUAGGAUAUACAUAGGCUGAGAUGGUCUGAAACUAAUGCAUUUGGGCCCUGUAUAUACCAGGGUUCCAAAUUAAAAUUUUCUUUGUUUAUUACCCCUCUGACGAUCGAUGCUAGGCGGCCGCAACGGUGCUGCUUUUGCCGGACUGAUCUGAGCUGCCACCGCCGCCACCGCCGCCGCUGCCGCCAGCCGGAGUGGAGCACUUCUUCUCCAUGAGCUCGUCCAGGUUCAUCUGCUGCUGCCUACACUCCUGACUGCAGAAGGCCACCUCACCCCUGCAUGCGCAAACACAGAAAGUUUAAUCCAAAAUGAUGGUUGGUUACACAAGAAGUUUGUGUCUGAGCUGGACGAGAGGCACUUGUAUUUUGCUAACUAACUAAGUAGCAGUUAAUAACAAUCUUUGUGCUGACAAAACAGGAGGCAGAUCUUGAGUGUUGGACAGGAACUAUGUUGGAGACCCAUUCACAUCCCAUGAACACAACUAAACAACGCCACUUGCUCAGGAGCUGAACCACUCGGAAAGGGAAACAUUAGCGUGUUUUUCAUUUCUGUAUGUAUCUCAGCACAAAAGGAAUUCUCUUUCACACAUAUAAAGAGGAGGAAAGCAAUGGACAAGAGAUAUUGUUAUUACAAAAGUGCAUCUGUGAUUCUCCAGCAACCCAAAGGGCAGCUGGCUCUUGUUUUCUCCUCAAACAAUCAACUUGUUCCUUUCAUUUUCGUUCUGUCCACUUCACCCCGUUCAAACCGAGCAUGAGUGAGUAUAGAAUCAUCGCCAUGCAUCACCAAGCAUUUGCAACAGCAAAGAAAUAGAGAAUCUAACGCGAUAAUCUCGCAGAAUAUUCCAGAGUCAGGGGGCAAUGAAAUGAGAUCAAAUUUUGUAUCUCGUUCUUUUUUCAGAGAAACAGAGAGCAGAGAGCCAGAGAUAUGACUAUAUAUAGUUUCUCUAAAACUAAAAGGAAGCCAGAUCAUCCAAAAAUAUCUUGCGUCCAAGACGCACCAAGAUCAAUACGACCCCCUAUGCCAGGAUCAUCAGAAAGCAGUUGCGCUGCAGCAAUCUUGGAGAGGGAAAGAACAAGCAGCAGAUCGACAGGCUGAAAGAUUCGACCAACAGCAGAAACAUUGGCAGAGCCUACAUAUGCAAAUCCGAGCAAGGAAAAAGCAGAGGCUUGCUUACGCAC
rnacentral:lncRNA from 1 species